CCCUUCCAUCCUGCUCCACUAGUCCCCAAAGAUGCUGCAGCCUGGGCGGGGCCUAGGAGUACAGGGAGCCCGCGGUCCAGCUGCACGUGGAGAGAGCCUACCACGCAUGCGUACACCCUCCGCAGUUCACUCCGCCGUCCUGGGAACGGCCCUUCUUCAAGCCCCAUUAUUAGCCAGAAGACAGCUCUGGUUUCUCCGAAGAUCUCUGACGGGAACAAACGAUAUCCAACGUUCUUCGAUCGUCUCACAAGCGGGAGUCCGAAAUAAAUGGCUGGAGUAAUUUGAACUCAACAUGAUAAAUCUCUCAGCUGAAUUCUCAAAACAUGUUAUUUCAAGAAUAUAUUUCAUUAUAAAAGGUGCAAAAUUCUAAUAAGCUUAUAGAACAAUGUAAUGAAUCCAACCAGAAUUUAUUUUUCCUCAGAUGCAUAAGCAACUUAAGCAACACAUAUGAGAAAACAGACUCAGACAGAAAAAAUGAUUUGCUCACCAUCACAGAAGUCAGAAAUGUAAUUUGAGCCAGGCUUGGUGGCACAAGCCUGUAAUCCCAGCAACUCAGAAGGCUGAGGCAGGAGGAUCCCAAGUUCAAAGCCAGCCUCAGCAACUUAGUGAGACCCUGUCUCAAAAUAAAAAAUGAAAAGGGCUGGAGCUAUGGCUCAGUGGCCCUCCAAAAUUGAUGUUUUUUUAAAUGAAAAUUAAGAUUCAGAAGAAGAGCCGGCAGUACUUUCAACAAAUGACUUAUAGAUCUGAGAGUUCAAAAACCUUGGGAAAGAAUCUCUGUGCAUUAAGGUAUAUAUCUGAAGUUGGGCAUCUUCAUACAUGUGAGGAUUAGGAUCCAACAGAUUUCUAUUGAUCACCUCUCUAACUCGAGAAUCGAGACUGACCUAAAAAGAAAAUAGAGCAGAUCCAUUAAAUCAUAUAUUUUUUCAAAAGACCUCAAUUAAAUAAAUGCAGGUUUUUGACAUUUCAGACAAACAUCAAAGAGUAAAUUCAACUAUUGAAAAUAAUGAGGUCAUCUUUUCA